UUUGAUCCUGGCUCAGGACGAACGCUGGCGGCGUGCCUAAUACAUGCAAGUCGAGCGGACAGAUGGGAGCUUGCUCCCUGAUGUUAGCGGCGGACGGGUGAGUAACACGUGGGUAACCUGCCUGUAAGACUGGGAUAACUCCGGGAAACCGGGGCUAAUACCGGAUGCUUGUUUGAACCGCAUGGUUCAAACAUAAAAGGUGGCUUCGGCUACCACUUACAGAUGGACCCGCGGCGCAUUAGCUAGUUGGUGAGGUAACGGCUCACCAAGGCAACGAUGCGUAGCCGACCUGAGAGGGUGAUCGGCCACACUGGGACUGAGACACGGCCCAGACUCCUACGGGAGGCAGCAGUAGGGAAUCUUCCGCAAUGGACGAAAGUCUGACGGAGCAACGCCGCGUGAGUGAUGAAGGUUUUCGGAUCGUAAAGCUCUGUUGUUAGGGAAGAACAAGUACCGUUCGAAUAGGGCGGUACCUUGACGGUACCUAACCAGAAAGCCACGGCUAACUACGUGCCAGCAGCCGCGGUAAUACGUAGGUGGCAAGCGUUGUCCGGAAUUAUUGGGCGUAAAGGGCUCGCAGGCGGUUCCUUAAGUCUGAUGUGAAAGCCCCCGGCUCAACCGGGGAGGGUCAUUGGAAACUGGGGAACUUGAGUGCAGAAGAGGAGAGUGGAAUUCCACGUGUAGCGGUGAAAUGCGUAGAGAUGUGGAGGAACACCAGUGGCGAAGGCGACUNUC
rnacentral:rRNA from 1 species